rnacentral:rRNA from 1 species
UACGUAGGGGGCAAGCGUUGUCCGGAAUCAUUGGGCGUAAAGAGCGCGUAGGCUGCCCUGUAAGUCCGCUGUGAAAGUCAAGGGCUCAACCCUUGAAUGCCGGUGGAUACUGCAGGGCUAGAGUCCGGAAGAGGCGAGUGGAAUUCCUGGUGUAGCGGUGAAAUGCGCAGAUAUCAGGAGGAACACCGAUGGCGGAGGCAGCUCGCUGGGACGGUACUGACGCUGAGACGCGAAAGCGUGGGGAGCGAACAGG